AGCGAACGCUGGCGGCAGGCCUAAUACAUGCAAGUCGAGCGCACCUUCGGGUGAGCGGCGGACGGGUGAGUAACGCGUGGGAAUGUGCCCUUUGGUACGGAACAACUGAGGGAAACUUCAGCUAAUACCGUAUGUGCCCUUCGGGGAAAGGAUUUAUCGCCAUUGGAGCAGCCCGCGUUGGAUUAGGUAGUUGGUGAGGUAAAGGCUCACCAAGCCGACGAUCCAUAGCUGGCUGAGAGGAUGAUCAGCCACACUGGGACUGAGACACGGCCCAGACUCCUACGGGAGGCAGCAGUAGGGAAUCUUGCGCAAUGGGCGAAAGCCUGACGCAGCCAUGCCGCGUGAAUGAUGAAGGUCUUAGGAUU
rnacentral:rRNA from 1 species